AAAGUCAAAGGCCAUUCUAAUGACAGCUUGAAACAGUGAUAAAUGUAGCUGCUAAUCACUUGCUUUACAGCAUACCAAGAGUGGGGAAGAAAACUGUGUUGAAAUUGCUCUAAUGGGAUAGAAGUGCUUCAAAGAAGAAAGGAUUGGGCAAUGAAGAGUUGCAUACUAUAAAGCAAAAAGGUUUUGGCACCGUGCUAGGUGACUGGUGGUACUCGGAUAUUGCCAUAUCCUAAAAGUGUAAUAAUGGGUGAAAAGAUUGAAAAGCCCUGCUCAAUGGAACUGAAUCUACAUGGAGAUGAGUUCCGAUCACCAGGACUAGAUGGUUUACAUCCCAGAAUUCUUAAGGAGCUGGCAGACAUGUUCUCAAAACCACAUCUUUCACAGAUCUUGAAGCAUGAGGAAAUACUAGAGAGGAAAAGAGCUGAUGUGGCUCCCCCCCCCAAAAGGAGAAAAAUGGAUCCAGGAAACUACAGAUCUAUCACCCUGACAUCAAUAUCUGGGAAGAUUCUGCAAAAGUUAAUCAAGCAAUAGAUCUGCAAACACUUAGAAAAUAUUACUAGAAGCCAACAUGGAUUUGUCAAAAACAGAUCAUGCCAGACAAAUGUUAUUGAAUUAUUGGAUAAAAUGACUAAAUUAAUGUAUCAGCAAAAUGCUGUGGACAUAGUAUACUUGGGAUUCAGUAAGGCCUUUGACAAAGUAGACUACAGUUUACUUUUUGGUAAGAUACAAAAAUGCAGGAUAGACAGCAUUACUACCAAUGGCUUCAUAACUGCCUAACCAAUCACAUUCAACAUGUAGACUUUAAUGGAACUACAUCUACAUGGAGGGAAGAUGCAGUGGGAUAUUCCAAGGUUCUGUCUUAGACCAAGUACUCUUCAACAUUUUCAUAAACAAUUUAGAUGAAGGGAUAAAAAAAGAACUCAUCAAAUUUGCAGACAACACCAAGCUAGGUGGAAUAGCCAAUACUUUAGAAGAUAGGCCUGAGAUCCAGAAGGAUUUUGACAGAUUUAAACACUGUGCUUUAUCCAAGAAAAUGCAAGUCAGUGGUGAGAAAGUAAGGUUUUACACUUAGGCAAGAGAAACCAAAAGUACAGGUAUCUGGCUAAACAGCAGUAACUGUAAUAGGGACCUAGGAGUCCUAAUGGACAAUCACUGAAGUGUGAGCUGUCAGUGUGCUGCAUUGCUUAAAAAGACAAUGCAGUCCUAGGCCUCAAAAAUAGAAUGAUAGUAUCAAGAGCACAUGGUUAGUGCUGCUGUAUUUUGCUUUGGUGAGACCACACUUGAAAUAUUGUGUUACGUUUUGGCCAUGAUGAUACAAAAAAAUAUGUUGGUGAAAGUCUAGAAAGAGUGCAAAGAGCAACAAAGAGUAUUA